CCUACGGGAGGCUGCAGUAGGGAAUUUUCGGCAAUGGGGGGAACCCUGACCGAGCAAUGCCGCGUGAACGAAGACGUUAUUCGUAAUGUAAAGUUCUUUUAACAGGGAAGAAAGAGAAAUUUGACGGUACCUGAAGAAUCAGCUCCGGCUAACUACGUGCCAGCAGCCGCGGUAAUACGUAGUGAGCGAGCGUUAUCCGGAAUAAUUGGGCGUAAAGGGUGCGUAGAUGGCAGAGUAAGUCUUUUGUAAAAAUACUGGGAUAAACCCAGUAGGGCAAAAGAUACUGGUAAGCUAGAGUAUGAUAGAGGCUAGUGGAACUACGUGUGUAGCGGUAAAAUGCGUAAAUAUAUGUAAGAACACCAGUGGCGAAGGCGGCUUGCUGGGUCGAUACUGACAUUGAGGCACGAAAGCGUGGGGAGCAAACAGGAUUAGAUACCCGUGUAGUC
rnacentral:rRNA from 1 species